ensembl:snRNA U6 U6 spliceosomal RNA
UUGCUUUGGCAGCACAUAGACUAAAAUUGGAACAACGCAGAGAAGAUUAGCAUGGCCCCUGCCCCAGGAUGACAGGCAGACUCAUGAAGUGUGCCAUAUUUAA